UACCAGCUCUCCGAGUAGUGGGGACGAUUAUUGGGCUUAAAGCGUUCGUAGCCGGCUUAACAAGUCUUCCGUUAAAUCCAACGAUCUAAUCGUUGGUCUGCGGGAGAUACUGUUGGGCUAGGAGGCGGGAGGAGCCGACGGUAUUCUCGGGGUAGGGGUGAAAUCCUGUAAUCCCGGGAGGACCACCAGUGGCGAAGGUGGUCGGCUAGAACGCGCUCGACGGUGAGGGACGAAAGCUGGGGGAGCGAACCGGAUUAGAGACCCGGAUAGUCCCAGCUGUAAACGAUGCGGGCUAGGUGUUGGGGUGGCCAUGAGCCACUUCAGCGCCGCAUGGAAGCAAUUAAGCCCGCCGCCUGGGGAGUACGACCGCAAGGCUGGAACUUAAAGGAAUUGGCGGGGGAGCACCACAAGGCGUGAAGCUUGCGGUUU
rnacentral:rRNA from 1 species